ACACACACACACACACACACACACACACACACACACACACACAAUCCAAAUUGCACAAGUGUAAACUUUGAAUAGGACGCCGCGGCUCUGUAAAUUUGCACAGACAUUAAAUUUCGUUCUAUUCAUUUUAGACAUAUAAUGCUAAGCUGAUUUUUUUUUUUAUAGCGCAUUGAUCGAUAUCUCUGUAAAAUAAUCAUUUUUUUUUUUUAACUAGCGGGGCAGUGAAAUCUUUGCUUUGUGCUAAAGUCAACAGUGACAGAGUUUGAGCUCAAAUAAAUGCCGUGAUGUCUGGAGCCCUUUGCAGAAGGCAGAAGGCGAGCUUCUACAAUGGGCUCCUGUGUGGCUUGCCAACAACAAGCACCGGCUAUUUUGCACAGGGCUCGGCUGACUGAAGUGAUCCCCACGGCCUGAGUGGAGGGAGAGGAAGCCUCAGAGGGAAGAGGGAUAGCCGCUGAAGAGCUAACACACACACACACACACACACACACACACACACACACACACACAAUGUCCCUCUCAGUCCUGGGUUGUGACCGGCCCAUGGCAUUGGCCAGAUGCACAUGGCUUUCUUUGACGGACUCUUUUCCACUGCUGCUUUCCAUCUACGUUCAUCAUCCAGCAUCAAGCGGCCUGAAAGCACUUCCCCGUCGAUGUGCUUGGCUAUAUCUAUGUCUGCCCUGACUGCCAUAUGUAAUAUCAAAGCCUCUGUCAGCGUGGAGCUGAAUGGGAACAAAAGAGAGGCCUCCAUUAAUGAUUAACUGUUCUAAAAGCCCCGGCUUUUGUAUUCCCAUGGUGCCCAGGCUAUCUGGCCACCAUGUGACAUGCUCACAGCAUUUUUCGAGCAGAUUGGGGGAAAGCUAGUGAGCAAACACAGGUGCUUUGGAGCAGCGUUGCCGACGCUGUCAGGGACAACCACAAACAAGAGCAGCUAUGCCUGGCUAAAUGAAUCCCCACCCCUCCCAACACCAUCACCAUCACCACCUCCACCCCCCCAUCCCCACUCUCUGUCGCUAGCUAAGUUGUUUGCGAGCUCCCCAUAGCUUUCUCCCCGCAAAGCCUUCCUUCUGGAGAGUCCCCAUGCCCCCCCCCCCGACAAGUUCAAUGUCCACUACAGUCACCGCUCCACAACUUCUCACACCCUCCAAAGAAACAAACAAAUAAAAGUGAGGACAACCGACCACUUCUUUGAGGUGAUGGCAUUUGCUGUGGUCAUGACUAGUGGGAGAGCAAACAAAUUAAUGGUAUUCGGGUUUUCACUUUCCAAACCAAACUAACUGUCUUUAAGUUCAAGUGGGGCAAUUCCACUGACCCUGCUGUCAAACGGUGUAUAAGGGCUGCACACUCUUGCACUUGAAAUGCAGAGAGGAGGCCUUAAGAAAUUAAACAGGGCUUGAGUAUAUGCCAACCUGGUGUGUUGAAACACCUCAAAGUGAAACAGUAAUCUUGAAUAAAUUGUGUAAUAAACACUUAUGAUUUAUUUUUUAUGUUUGUGUAUUUUGACUUUAAGACGUUUAUUUAGAGGUGUGUGGAACACUUAACCUUUUCAUCCAGGCAGACUGAUUGUUCAGAGUGACUGAGGGUGCUGUGUCUCUCAACUUUGAUAAGACAAUCAGAUGAUAGGAUGGCGUUAUCUUAACAUGGCUUUCCGGCUGGCGGACAAAUGAACAGUGUGUGAUAACAGGAACAAAAGCUUGGCUCUUAUUGCUUGGCUCCUCCAAAGAAAGGAAAAAUUAUCAGGCUCAAAAAUUCACAAUAGGUGCAGUUUAUUUCAUUUUCAAUUUUCUACUAAGCCCAGUUCACAGGAACAGCAAUUUGUUUCUAAUCACUCAAAUAUUUAUAUUGUGUUUUAUUGGCAUUUUGGUUUCACUGUCUGCAAUUAGCUACGCCUAUAAAGCCGUUGCAGUCACUGUAAAGAUGAU